rnacentral:rRNA from 1 species
ACAGGUGCUGCAUGGCUGUCGUCAGCUCGUGUUGUGAAAUGUUGGGUUAAGUCCCGCAACGAGCGCAACCCUUAUCCUUUGUUGCCAGCGAUUCGGUCGGGAACUCAAAGGAGACUGCCGGUGAUAAACCGGAGGAAGGUGGGGAUGACGUCAAGUCAUCAUGGCCCUUACGAGUAGGGCUACACACGUGCUACAAUGGCGCAUACAAAGAGAAGCGACCUCGCGAGAGCAAGCGGACCUCACAAAGUGCGUCGUAGUCCGGAUCGGAGUCUGCAACUCGACUCCGUGAAGUCGGAAUCGCUAGUAAUCGUGGAUCAGAAUGCCACGGUGAAUACGUUCCCGGGCCUUGUACACACCGCCCGUCACACCAUGGGAGUGGGAUGCAAAAGAAGUAG